AUGGCCGACGCCGCCUUCGCCCACUUCUCCGAGGUCCUUGGCAGCACCUCUGAGCGCGAUAUCACCCUUGAUCUACAUGCUCUCCAUGUGCCACAGUUUGACUUACUAGAGUUGGAUGCGCCCUUCACCGAUGAAGAGAUUUGGAGCGCCGUCAAGAGCCUGCCGGCCUGCAAGGCGCCGGGCCCCGAUGGCUUCACUUCCGAGUUCCUUGUUGCUUGCUGGGAUACGAUCAAGCAAGACUUCCGCGAGGCUUUUGAAAAAUUCUACACCAUAAACGGCAGAAGCUUUCAAAAGCUCAACGAGGCCCUCCUCACCUUGCUUCCGUAG
rnacentral:rRNA from 1 species